rnacentral:misc_RNA from 1 species
AUUUAUUUUGUAUUAUUGAUUUAACAAGAAAUGCUAUUGAAAGUCACUGAAUGUUGGCCAAAAUGUAGCUUGAUAUUGUCAUGUGCUGCAAUAUUUGAUCCAUGGUAAAAGAUCACGUUUAUCGAGUACAUUGAAUACUGUUAUACGAAACUUUACAAUAGUGAUGCUCUGCAGUUAUUGGCACCACUGCUGACAGUCUUUGUAGGUUUUUCAAUGAGUAUGUCAGAAACUCUUGCUUCUUUUCUGUUAAUAGUGCAGGACCUGUUGUUGCCGCUAAUGUUGCUUGUGAUGGAUAUUAUAGUGUUUCGUUUGAAGAAACAUUUCAGAGUGCUAGUUUUCGGACUAAAAUGCAGAGGCUGGCCAUGAUCUUAAUAGUGACAUAGAUGUCUGACAAUAUUGGAGGUCAAGCUCAAUCAAAUAUCCGGAGUUUUAAAAAAUGGCUUGUGAUAUUUUGACUAUUCCAAUGGCUACGAUGGCUUCUAAUAGUGUGUUUACCAUAGGUUGUUGUCCAGUGAUAAAUCCUUGUUGAAAUUCACCAAAACAGAAGAGAUUACAAGCCUUGAUAUGCCUUCAAGAAUGGCUGAAGCCAUAUGAUAUGGCAGAUAAUUCGACUGUGUUUGGAGCUUUAAGUUUUUGCCAUUCUAUGCAUAAGAUCUUAUUGAUUUGCGACUUCUCUAGGGCAGAGUCUGGCUGAUGACGAUGACUCCGGUUCAAACGAUGGAGGUGAGGAAGAUGAUGCUGAUUAGGCACUCAAAAUUAUGUCAAUUUCCUAUGGAAUGAGAUUGAUGGAAAAGGUUUGUUGAUGACAUUGUCAGUGUAUAUACUAGAUUUCCCCAUAAAAUCAGUGUUAACCCCUAGUUGCUUCCGACUCAUCUGUUGAUAACCGUUGCUUUGGCUUGGUAACUUGUGUUACUGAUCUACACUUGAUUGAAAUUGUUGGGUAAAUACUUUCAUGCAGGUUUCUUCUUCAGCAUCUUUAUUAUUACCUUUGUGCAAUGGCCGCAUUUUGAAAGUUGUGAUUUUUUAAACUAGUUUCAAG